AAUCAACGCUGGCGGCGUGCCUAACACAUGCAAGUCGCACGAGAAAGUGGAGCAAUCCAUGAGUACAGUGGCGCACGGGUGAGUAACACGUGAAUGAUCUACCUCCGAGUGGGGGAAUAACUGAGAGAAAUCUUAGCUAAUACCGCAUAAUACCCACGGGUCAAAGCAGCAAUGCGCUUGGAGAGGAGUUCGCGGCAGAUUAGUUAGUUGGCGGGGAAUGGCCCACCAAGACGAUGAUCUGUAUCCGGCCUGAGAGGGCGCACGGACACACUGGAACUGAAACACGGUCCAGACUCCUACGGGAGGCAGCAGUGGGGAAUUUUGCGCAAUGGGGGAAACCCUGACGCAGCAACGCCGCGUGGAGGAUGAAGCCCCUUGGGGGUGUAAACUCCUUUCGAUAGGGAAGAUAAUGACGGUACCUAUAGAAGAA
rnacentral:rRNA from 1 species